rfam:Triticum aestivum genome assembly, contig: Triticum_aestivum_CS42_TGACv1_scaffold_324835_4BL
GUCGUACUCCCUUCGUCCGAAAAUACUUGUCAUCAAAAUAGAUAGAAAGACAUGUAUCUAGAACUAAAAUACGUCUAGAUCCAUUCACUUUUAUCCAUUUUGAUGACAAGUAUUUCCGAACGGAGGGAGUAUGAA